rnacentral:tRNA from 24 species
GGGCCUGUAGCUCAAUUGGUCAGAGCCGGCGGCUCAUAACCGCUUGGUUGGGGGUUCGAGUCCCUCCGGGCCCACCA